rnacentral:rRNA from 1 species
AUGGAGGCGACCGAGAUCCCCCUUCAUCUCCACGCCCUUCUCGCCGGCCUACUGCCUCCUAUCUCCGAUUUCUUCAAUGUCGUGCUCUCGCACUUCCAAAUCUACGCGUUGCAUCUGGAUCUCGGAUCCAUCGUCCUCUUCUCCGCCUUCGCAUUCCUGUGUGAGGCCUUUGUGGGCAUUGCCUCGUCCGUUGCCUUGCUCCGCCACUUCUUCUCGCUCCAAUUGGUCGACGGUGAGCAGCGCUUGGGGUGCGUGUCACUUCAGGUGGUGGCGGCGACCAUAGGCUCCGGCAUCGACUCCACGCUCCGCCCGGACGCGAGGGGAUUCCGGAAGUAG